CCGGCUCCGCGCAGCCCCGAGAAGCGGGCCGGCCUGGCUGGUCGCCUGCUGCCCCUCGCCGGCCGGUGGCACCGGCGACAUUGUGGUCACCGCGCCGCGCGCCCCGGCCCGAUGCUCCGUGCCAGUUUCUUAAACACUCACGUCGCUCCCUGCUGCUGACCCCUUCGGCGCUUCGGGCGCUCGGGCGGCUGAAGUGGGAUAGCUACUCAGCGUUUGCUGCGGAAGUCCAUUGUAGGAUACCUAAAUAUAGAAGCAGCAGGCCCACGAUUUGCUGAGGAGAACAGAUACAUGGAGAUGUAUUUUGAUCCUGAAGGAGGAUUGCAGACGCUGCAGCACAGCUGGAGACCAAGGCCGCUGCAGUAUACGAUGAGCCAUGCUGACUUGCUAGAAGUUCUUCGGUGGCUGUUUGCCUCCAGCAUCUCGGACAAGUGACAUCAUAUAAAACUGUGGACUCUGAAAUAAUAAUGACUCUGGAGGCUGAAGAAUGGACAAGGUGUGCACAAAACACUCCAAAUAGUGAAGUGAUACAACUGUGAGAGUUAAAAUUCCCCUUGAUUCUAACCCAAUUUCUGUACCCCUAAAACAUGUGCUACUGUGUGAAAAAGAAGCUGCAGUAGUUUUCUUAUUCAGAAGGCAAUUUCUUUGACUCAGUAUUAUAUUACAGCUGCAAAGUUUAUAGCCAGUCCACCGAUAACCAAAUUAGAUAUGAUCCCUAAAGGAAAAGCUGAUAGAUAUACUUCGUGGUAUGAGAAAAAAGGGGUCCAUAUGGGACCAGGGUUUUGGUACCACGGUUGACUGUGUAAUGAGACAGUUUUCUGGGUAAAAGUGAGAGGGCUACUCUUGUGUGGAAUGCCUGGUGGAAUGUUAAUCUGUAGCAUCCUUUAUACGUGGCUUCAUGAUGUCAUCAGAUGUCUUUAAGGGUGACUGCUUUUUGAUCCAACAAUAUUUUAAAGUUUAACCAAAUUAAGAUGGGUUAAAAUAUUAAACUGUUUAAGAUGGGUUAAAGUAUUAAACUGGACAAGAGUAAGAGAUACUGUAAUGUUUGGUAUGGAAUCAUAUAUUACCCAUAUAAUAAACAUCAUGGAAUUACUUAAUCCCUGAACUAAUAUUUUUCUAGGGCUGGGGAUUUAGCUCAGCGGCAAAAGCGCCUGCCUGGCAAGCUCAAGGUCGUGAGUUCGGUUCCCGGUACCAGAGAAAAACCAAAAAAUAUAUAUAUAUAUAUUUUUCUACAUGAAAAUAUAGCUCUAAACAUCAAAUUACUAUAGCCUAAUAAAAAGCAAACUGUAAGUUUAGAAAGCUAUGGCCUAUUAAUGACAUCUGUGUAUUAGUGGGAAAAUUUGGCUUUGUUACAGUUAAAUGGGCCAGAAAUAGUCCAGGUUCUUGUGCACGACAAGGAAAUAACUGCGAAGCACAUACCUCACAGUAAGUAGCUACAUUUUUUGAAAGUCAAGGCGUGGUCGUAGCAGGAACAGGCACAAGUGUAAAGGGAAAAGGAGGAGGAAGAGGAGCCCUCUGUACCUGAGGCUUCCAGUCUUUCAAAGGUCUGGCGCCUCUGACUCCAGUGCCUCCUAUUCUGCUUCUCGCUGGUGUUGAUGAUCUGCCACCUGGGACAUUGGGAUCUCCUAAGUUUAAACAUGGAUAAUCAUUAGGGUGAUGCUGUGUUCAUAGCAGGGAAGAGUGUGGCUGCCUUGACCUCCCUGUUUCUAACUGUAUUAGCUUUGUUUUUCUACUUUGAAAUUUUACAAUUUUAUAAUUAGCAUUGAUUCCAUGUAUGUAUAGCAGUAGAAGUAGAAGUGUCCUAGAGGAAAUUCUAUAUGCAUUGAGAGGCAUGCGCACACAUGCACAGCGCAGGAAGAGAAAAUAAAAAAGGAGGCAACAGAUGAGAGCAGAAAGAUGGUGAAGAUAAGUUACCUUACUAAACAGUGGUAGAAUAAAAGUUCCGUUAUUUAGCCUCUGACCCUAUUUUAAAUACAGGGGAACUUACCUGUUCAAUUUAAUCAUUCUCUGCAACAUUUGCAAGUAUGUAUCCAAAAAAUUCCGGGAGGCAUGAUUCUGCUGUCUAUUUCACAUUCCAGUGUUUUCCUGACAAAUCCCCACGCACCUGAGUGCUAUUGAUCUUCUAUCUGAUCCUGCUCUCCUUUUAUUCUGGUUUACCUCGUCACUGACAACUCUCCUCCUUUGCUGUCAAACGGGUUAUGUAUGCCUAAUUUCUGUAAAAUAUUUGAAAAGAAAGGAAAAUUGUACACAACAGCAAUAGAAAUUAAAGUUUGACUUUGAAAGAUUUAGGCCAUGAGGCCUGAGACCUCACAGAGAAUUGGUUUUCUUUUUUUCAUCAAAUGUUUUCCUGGCAUGUCUUCCUAUAUUGCUUCCUCCUUGAAGACGAUUCUUUAUCUGUCCCUUCUUCAAACACCUGAAUUCAUCUGAACAAAACAGGAAAAGAUUACAAAACCAGUUUCUUUAGUAAAAUCUUCCAGUCCAGUCACUCAUGGGUCCUGUGACCAGAGAGCCUCCAUAGUCCUCACUCAAAAAUUCAGAGCCUCCUGCAGUCCUGUGGGUUCAACAUGGAGUCACAUUUGGAAAAAAAUACCAUCUUGCAGGUUUCCUCUUAGUAAAUUUACAAACCAUUAUGUAAAGUGCAGAUAUAUACCAAUUGUUUCAAGGUGAUAAAAGGAUAUAUGGUUAGCAUGAAAAUGUUGGUGAUAGGUUGUAGUGAAAUUGGCUGAUUUUAACAAGCCUUUUUUUAUUUUAAAGAGAAUGAUAAUAAAAAAGAACAAUAGCAAAAUACCAACAACAUAAGCAAAAACAAAACAAAGCAAAAACAAUAAAAAUGGUACAGAGUUUCAGAACAAAAUGAUAGGCAUUAACAAUGGUUGUUAUAUUACAUAUUGUUAUCUUCAGUGAAGUUGCUCAGAUUACCAGAUGUAAGAAUACAAGAUUGAUCA
ensembl:lincRNA